rnacentral:rRNA from 1 species
GAUGAACGCUGGCGGCGUGCUUAACACAUGCAAGUCGAACGGAAAGGCCCAAACUUGCUUGGGUACUCGAGUGGCGAACGGGUGAGUAACACGUGGGUGAUCUGCCCUUAACUUCGUGAGAAGCCUGGGAAAAUGGGUCUAAUAUCGGAUAGGACCACUUCUAGGAUGUGGUGGUGGAAAGUAUUUUCGGUGUGGGAUGAGUUCGCGGCCUAUCAGCGUGUUGUUGGAGUAAUGGCCUACCAAGGCGUCGACGGGUAGCCGGACUGAGAGGGUGUAAGGCCACAUUGAGACCGACAUACGGCCGCGACUCCUAAGCGUGGCCGCAGUGGGGAAUCUUGCCCGAUGGGCGCAAGCCUGAUGCUGAGACGCCGCGUAGCGGAUGACGCCCUUAGUGUUGUAAAAUAAUUUCGUUAGGGACGAGGCGUUUUUUGACGGUACCUGGACAAGAAGCCCCGGCUAACUACGUG